GAUGAACGCUGGCGGCGUGCCUAAUACAUGCAAGUCGAGCGAACAGACGAGGAGCUUGCUCCUCUGACGUUAGCGGCGGACGGGUGAGUAACACGUGGAUAACCUACCUAUAAGACUGGGAUAACUUCGGGAAACCGGAGCUAAUACCGGAUAAUAUAUUGAACCGCAUGGUUCAAUAGUGAAAGACGGUUUUGCUGUCACUUAUAGAUGGAUCCGCGCCGCAUUAGCUAGUUGGUAAGGUAACGGCUUACCAAGGCAACGAUGCGUAGCCGACCUGAGAGGGUGAUCGGCCACACUGGAACUGAGACACGGUCCAGACUCCUACGGGAGGCAGCAGUAGGGAAUCUUCCGCAAUGGGCGAAAGCCUGACGGAGCAACGCCGCGUGAGUGAUGAAGGUCUUCGGAUCGUAAAACUCUGUUAUUAGGGAAGAACAAAUGUGUAAGUAACUAUGCACGUCUCGACGGUACCUAAUCAGAAAGCCACGGCUAACUACGU
rnacentral:rRNA from 1 species